rnacentral:rRNA from 1 species
CCUACGGGUGGCAGCAGUGAGGAAUAUUGGUCAAUGGACGAGAGUCUGAACCAGCCAAGUAGCGUGAAGGAUGACUGCCCUACGGGUUGUAAACUUCUUUUAUAAAGGAGUAAAACGCGGCACGUGUGCCUUUUUGCAUGUACUUUAUGAAUAAGGAUCGGCUAACUCCGUGCCAGCAGCCGCGGUAAUACGGAGGGUGCGAGCGUUAUCCGGAUUUAUUGGGUUUAAAGGGAGCGGAGAUGGGUUGUUAAGUCAGUUGUGAAAGUCUGCGGCUCAACCGUCAAAUUGCAAUUGAUACUGGCAGGCUUGAGUGCAGUGGAGGUAGGCGGAAUUCGUGGUGUAGCGGUGAAAUGCUUAGAUAUCACGAAGAACCCCGAUUGCGAAGGCAGCUUACUAGACUGUGACUGACAUUGAUGCUCGAAAGUGUGGGUAUCAAACAGGAUUAGAUACCCCUGUAGUC